GGCUCAGGAUGAACGCUAGCGGCAGGCCUAACACAUGCAAGUCGAGGGGUAGUAAGUGCUUGCAUUUAUGAGACCGGCGCACGGGUGCGUAACGCGUAUACAAUCUACCUUGUUCAAAGGGAUAGCCCAGAGAAAUUUGGAUUAAUACCUUAUAGUAUUAUAAGAUGGCAUCAUUUAAUAAUUAAAGAUUUAUCGGAACAAGAUGAGUAUGCGUCCCAUUAGCUAGUUGGUAUGGUAACGGCAUACCAAGGCAAUGAUGGGUAGGGGUCCUGAGAGGGAGAUCCCCCACACUGGUACUGAGACACGGACCAGACUCCUACGGGAGGCAGCAGUGAGGAAUAUUGGACAAUGGGCGCAAGCCUGAUCCAGCCAUGCCGCGUGCAGGAAGACGGUCCUAUGGAUUGUAAACUGCUUUUAUACAGGAAGAAACACCUCUACGUGUAGAGACUUGACGGUACUGUAAGAAUAAGGAUCGGCUAACUCCGUGCCAGCAGCCGCGGUAAUACGGAGGAUCCAAGCGUUAUCCGGAAUCAUUGGGUUUAAAGGGUCCGUAGGCGGAUUUAUAAGUCAGUGGUGAAAUCUCCCAGCUCAACUGGGAAACUGCCAUUGAUACUGUAGGUCUUGAAUUAUUAGGAAGUAACUAGAAUAUGUAGUGUAGCGGUGAAAUGCUUAGAUAUUACAUGGAAUACCAAUUGCGAAGGCAGGUUACUACUAAUACAUUGACGCUGAUGGACGAAAGCGUGGGUAGCGAACAGGAUUAGAUACCCUGGUAGUCCACGCCGUAAACGAUGGAUACUAGCUGUUCGGAGCAAUCUGAGUGGCUAAGCGAAAGU
rnacentral:rRNA from 1 species